UACGUAGGGGGCGAGCGUUGUCCGGAAUUACUGGGCGUAAAGGGCGUGUAGGCAGCCGAUCAAGUCAGGUGUGAAAUUCCAAGGCUCAACCUUGGACGUGCACUUGAAACUGGUUGGCUUGAGUGCAGGAGAGGAAAGUGGAAUUCCCAGUGUAGCGGUGAAAUGCGUAGAUAUUGGGAGGAACUCCAGUGGCGAAGGCGACUUUCUGGCCUGUAACUGACGCUGAGGCGCGAAAGGUAGGGGAGCAAAC
rnacentral:rRNA from 1 species